CGCUCUGCAUUUGAGCAACUUCCUGUACUUCAAAGUUGGAGAAAAUGCUUAUUGCUGAUUUCCUUGAUAAUCUUAAAUCUAUUUUAUGAAACAGAAAACGUUAUUUAAGUGGUGCAUGAACUGUUGCAACCAAGCAUAGAACUUGUUAAACCUAUAAAUUGACACAAAUUAUCAAUCAAGGUACUGGUGGUUGAAUCAGGAUGUUUAUUUAUUUUGUUGAAUAUUUAUGAGAUACAUUUCUGUGUUCAGUUGGGGAAGUGAAAUAAGUAGCUAUAAGGAAGAAAAACAAGUUCAUCCAUCUUCUUACUUUUGGGUAAUCACUUGACAAUUUUUGGUUACAUUUGUGAACUUAUCUAAAAAAUAACAACAUGUAAAUAUUCAUUACUUAUAUCAAGGUAACUCUUUCACUUUUACUGCAUUACAACUUCCAUUUGCAUUAGCAUGACUGCCCAUCUUGCAAUUUUACUGUUUUUUGGUUAAGAAUUGUGAACAUUGUAAAUAUUUUAAUGAUGGGGCAAUUUCAUCAUGUUCUGACAUAUAAAAACUUGCUUCAAGAUUUUGAUUGAAAUGAUUUUUUUUUAUUUCCUGUUUUGAAAAUUAAUGUAAAAUAUUCUGCAUUAUGCUUAGUCCAAAUUGUGUGCUAUGUAAGUAAUGUAAAAAACCAAUGGCAGCUUUAUAUGACAAAUGUUUGUUGGUACAUUUGUUAUAGACAAGCGGAAGUCAUAAAAAAGACGACUAUGAAAUUAGUGCACUUUCCCGAACAUUUCUUAUGUCAUUAUGCUCAUGUUAUGUCACAGUAGGAACGGAUUGUCCUGAUGUCACUAAGGCUGGUUGACCUGGGGUUAAACAUUACAACUCAUUCAUAAAAAAACAUCUUGAGAUUGGUGUAUGUCAUAUAUAUGUUUCCUGGACAGUUUCAUGCUUGCUAUUGCUUUUUGAUUCCCAUAGAAAAUCCAUGAUGUUCCAGUUACAUGCUGUUAAAACUCACCAGUGAAAAUAUCUAAUGCUUCAAAUCCCAAGUCCAAGUGAUUUUGAUUGUUGAAUGACAUCCAGAGAUCAAGCAUCACAAUAACCUCAAGUGGAGUGAUACAGAAUCCAAUAACAAUUUUGUUUAUAUGAGCACUUAGUCCUAAGUAACAGAAAACAAUGAUAAUUAAAAUCAAAAUCAAUAAACUUAUCAAUUAAAUUUGAAAUUAUUAACUUUUUUCAACAUCAUUUUAAUUUCAUAUUAUUUAUAUUAUGAAUAUGAUUAACAUCAGAGCAUUACCCUGCAUUGCCAUUUUGACUGAUGUUGCCAUGUACACAUGUAGUAGUAUAGUAUUACAUCUCCCAUACAUUUGUAUAUACUAUGUAUUUAGAUACCUAAAAGGUUUAUUAAGAUAAUGGACUUCCUCCCCUUUCAUACAUAUACAUGUACAAUGUACAUACAUUUAUAAGAACUGUCCUACAAUGUAAAUUAAUAGGAUAGAAACUGUUUCUGGCAGAUUUGGGAUAUUAAAUUUAAAAAAAUAAAUAAGAUGUGGUAUGAUUGCCAAUGCGACAAUUCUCCUCUAGAGACCAAAUGAUGUGGAAGUUAGUGUAGCAACUGCAUAUGUGGCCUUCAACAAUGAGUAAAUCUCAUACUGUAUUAAAAGUUAUAAAAGGCACUGAAAUACUGAAAUGACAAAUGUAAGACAAUUCAAACUUUGAAACUAAUGGCUUAAGUGGCCAGAAUGUGGCUUGGUAAAACAUUGGUGAUUACAAACAAAGAACAAAAACAAAUGUAACAGUGGCGUUGUUUUGUUCAUAAUUAAUGCUUUUGAAUGGGGGCAUAUGGUUGGAACCCACUUUUGAAAAUGGCUGGAUUUGCACCUGUAUAUAAUAUGGUAUCAGGGGUGUGGAAAUGCUAUGCCCGACUCGCCCGACUCAUACAUUUUAACACCCGGACAAGUAAUUAUUUUUGUCUUGGUUGCCCGUGGACAAGUAAAAUAAUAUAUAAGACAAAGUUCAAAUUCAGCACAUAGGAUUAAUUUCAAAACGUAUAAAGAUGUUUAAUUUAUGUAAAAGAAGUAAAAACAUAUUUUCAAGUAUAAACAUCAAUGUUCAUGACGAUAAAUAUUACAUAACUCCGGAAAUAGAUCGAUUACCAAAAUGAGUAAAAAUAAGUAUGCAAACAGAGUCGCGUAAUAUUGCAUUGGCUUUGUCCAUUGACCCAGGAUCGUCGAUUAUGUUUUAUCUACUAUUCACCGGAAGUGUCAUUUCUUAAGAUUUUGAAUCGAGAUUCAGAUUGAUGAAUAUUUUUAAAAUAAAACAUUGGGCAAGCAAGACAAAAAGAAUGACGAGUCUAGUCGAAAGCAUGAAACGCAAACGGAGAUGGCCAAGUGUAUAUAAAAAAGAAUACGGAAGCGAGAAUAUCAGACAUCGUGAAUAUCAGAUUACCCCUUGGAAAGAAAUUCAGAUAAUAAGUUUUGUUUUUGUCUUUUUUAUAGAUCAAAGUCAACCUUAUGUGUUGUCCAAGUGGUAAAUAGAAGUGUUCAACUACCAAGAAAAAAACAAGUGUGUUAGUUGAUAGAAAUAAUUAGUUAAUCUAUUAUUUAGUUUCCAUUUCUUAACUCACUAUCCUCUAAAUUUAGUAUAUGUAGUGUACCUACUGGCUACAAUUUUUAUUAAAAAACAAUGCUGCAAACUUGUCCUUUUCAUGUCAUUUCAUUCAGUUGAUUUGCUUUUGAGUUUCUGUCCCAUUGAUGUAAUAAACCCAUUUCCAACAUUCCUAAAUUUUUACACAUAUAAACCAAUUGAUUUCACUGAUUUGUUUGGGAUGCAAAACCGUGCUAAGAAUCAUAUAUUAGCUAACAAUACUUUAAAUACUACAAUAUUAAUUUGGACCAUCAGGGCAAGUAACUUUUUUUCCGGACAAGUAAAAUUUACAGUUUUACUUGCCCAGGGACAAGUGCUCACAACAAAUAUUUCCACACCCCUGGGUAUUAUGCAACAAACAGCAACAACUGAAUAACAGGAUUCUGACUUGGGACAGACUCAUUCAUUCACUGUGAUCUGGUUAUACAUGUUUGCAUGCAUUCAAUCCUUACCUUAGCUGCAGCUAUAACUUUAUCAAAACUUCAUGGAGGUUUGUAUACAUGUAUGAAAUGGUUUUUUUCCUGAUGAAAGGACACUUUUUUUUUGCAGUUACAUGUAUGUUGAAAAAGUAUAAAAACAAACAUAUUCUGAAAAUAGGAAAUUAAAGAAGUUUUAUUGCAAAAAAAUACUUUAAAAAGACGCCCUCUUUCCAUCACAAAACAAAGUUUUAAUAGUAUUUUUUUUAUUCUCCUGGUUACCCCACUACCACCUCCAUGUGGUGAACAAGGUACAUAGGAAGCAUAUAUAGCAGUCAAAACUGGUCUUUUUUAAAUCAAUAAAUUUACCUCUAAAUUGGGCCUAUAUAUAUUACAUACAGGUAUUUUGAAUUGUACAAAUGAAAUGCCGAUUGGCUAACAUGCAAAACACUGUUUCAACCGUUGCCAAUGCAAUGGAUGAUGUUGUAAAUGCUGAAGACAUGGCCACAAACAGCCUUAUAAAAAGUAAAAAUGUUUUGUUGUUUUUCCCCAUACAUUACAAACAAUGCAACUAAUGAUUUUUAUGCCCCACGUACAACAGUAGAGGGGAAUUAUGUUUUCUGGUCUGUGCGUCCAUUCGUCUGUCUAUCCCACUUUAGGUUAAAGUUAAAUUUAGUUUUUGGUAAAGGUAGUUUUUGAUGAAGUUAAAGUCCAAUCAACUUGAAUCUUAGUACACAUGUUCUCUAUGAUAUGAUCUUUCUAAUUUUAAUGCCAAAUUAGAGUUAUUACCCCAAUUUCACAGUCCACUGAACAUAGAAAAUGAUAGUGCGAGCGGGGCAUCCGUGUACUGGGGACACAUUCAUGUUAAUUACUGCGUCACCAUAAGUUCAGUUGAUUGUGAAUGCUUUACCAUGGGGACUAAAUCUUUUCCCGUAAUCAAGUUUCAGAUUUGAGUAAUAGCAUUUUGCAUGUGUCUAAAUUACUGUAAAUUCAGAAAUUAUUGCGAUUUUGUCAUUUUAGACUUAUUUGUGAUUUUAAUUUUUAUGAUUUACAUGUAGAGAAAAAUCCUGUUUAAAUCAUAUAAAAUAUUUCAAAAUGCGAGUUUGAAUUAUUGCGUUUACAACUCUGUCGCAUUUUUCACAAUAAUAAAAACCUUGCAAUAAUACCUGAAUUUACAGUAAAUUAUGACUUUCUUUCAUUUGAUAUUCUUAAAAUUCUUUUCAGACACAAAUUGAUUGAGAUGCCGGGUGCUUUAUUUGUAUACCAGGCACUGCAUGACUUCACGCCUUCGGAACAAACCUCUGAUCCUGAUGAUGAAGAAAUCCAGAUAGAAAAAGGCGAUACUCUUGAAGUUAAAGGUCCUAUUGAUAAUUUUGAACAUCCAAAUAUUUGGUUGAAAGGGAAGAAUGUUACCAAAGGUACAGAAGGACUGUUUCCUGAGACAUUUGUACAGUUUAUUAAAACUAUAGAACAGUCUGAAGAGCCAGUGGAGGGUAAGUACUAUAGAAUGAUUCAAUAUGAUAGUUACUUGUGCAAGUUCACAGACAUCAGACUAAUUGAAAAGAUUUAGCCCAUACAUUAUGAUAAAAUCAUGAUGUUUCAGCAUUAAAUCAUAUUUAAAAGGCCUGCUCUCAAGGUCAAAUAUUCUUGCUAUAUUUAAAUAACGUUUUCCUGAAAUUUUGAAACUCAGUUUUGGUCAUCUGUUGAGGAUCUGACAGCUGGAUAUUUUUUUCUAACUUUCAGAUUUAUUCCAGACAUCAUGACAUACUGUAAACAAACCUGUAUCAACGGUUGAAGAUUUUGUACAUUCUGUGUUAAUUUAUGUUCAUUAUUUUUACUCCUAUACCAAAAAUAUGUUUUAAUCAUGGUUUUUAGGAUAUGUUUUGUCUGGAAAAUACAAUCAUUUCAGGACCCUUGAAAGUUGAAGAAGACUGCACUAGAGAACUGGCCCUUGUCAUCUAUUAUUAGCUCACCUGGCCCGAAUGGCCAAGUGAGCUUUUCUCAUCACUUUGCGUCCGUCGUCUGUCAUUGUCGUCAUCCAUUGUCAUUAACUUUUACAAAAAUCUUCUCCCCUGAAACUUCUUGGCCAAAUUAAACCAAACUUGACCACAAUCAUCAUUGGGGUAUCUAGUUUAAAACAUGUGUCAACCAACCAAGAUAGCCGCCAUGGCUACAUAUAUAGUCAAAUUUUAACAAUUUUUUGUAAAUUUUUGUAAUGUUUUACAAAAAUCAUCUCCUCUGAAGCUACAUAGACAUAUUUAACCAAACUUGUCCACAAUCAUCAUAAGGGUAUCUAGUUUAAAAAGUGUUUUUGAUGACCUCGCCUGUAAACCAAGAUGACCACCAUGGCUAAAAUAGUUCAUUGGGGUAAAAUGCAGUUUUUGGUUCAUAUCUCUAAAAACCAAAGCAUUUGCAGAAAAUCUGCUGUAGAUAAAAUUGUUUAUUAGGUCAAGAUCUAUCAGCCCUGAAAUUUUCAGACCAAUAGGGCAACUUGUUGUUGGGCUGCUGCCCCUGAAUUGGUAAUUUUAAUAAUUUUGCAGCUUUUGUUGAUUAUCUGAAUAUUAUUAUAGAUAGAGAUAAACUGUAAAUAGCAAUAAUGUACAGCAAAAUAAGAACUACAAAUAAGUCCGCUUGACCAAAGUGGUCAAUUGACCCCUUAAGAAGUUAUUGUCCUUUAUAGUCAAUUUUUAACAAUUUUUACAAAAUAUUUUCCACUGUCACUUCUGGGCCAAUUUCAUUAUAGAUAGAGAUUAUUGUAAGCAGCAAGAUUGUUUAAUAAAUUAAGAUCUACAAACACAUCACCAACACCAAAACACAAUUUUGUCAUGAAUCCAUCUGUUUUCUUUGUUUAAUAUGCACAUAGACCAAGGUGAGCGACACAGGCUCUUUAGAGCCUCUAGUUUAACAUAUAACGAAAAUAUGUGUGUGUAUAUAUAUAUAUAUAUGUAUAAUAUACUUUUUUUUGUACAGUUGGUAGUGCAAUGAUCACACAAUCAUUUUUCAUAUUGAAUUUAAUAUUUUCUUCAAUGUUAUUGAAUAUAAUUUUUUCGUAUUAAAUAUAUAUUAUGUCCAACUGCAAUUACAAUUGAUUCAGAACAGCUGAAUUGUCAACAGGCACAUUUGAGAGUAACAGUAAGAGUUCCUGGACUGCAAGAACAGAAACGAAACAAAAGUUUUCUUUGAUAGUUGAAGUUUUAUCUUUGUUAGUUAUAUAUGAUACAAUUACUAAUUAUAUAACUCUGUGCUAUUUUAAAUCAUUAUGCAUAUAACUCAUACUCUUGCCAAUGAUAAUUUUCACAUACCAAGUAUAUUAUUAUGUUUAAAUUUCAGGUCAUUUCAUCAGUGUUUGAAAUGUGAACUGCUUUAGAAGUCAGAAAUAAUGUUAUUGUUACUAGAACUAUUCAGUUUGCGAAGCAUAGCAAUUAUUCUAAUCUUGGCCUUUUUUUUU
rnacentral:lncRNA from 1 species